rnacentral:rRNA from 1 species
UAGGGAAUCUUCGGCAAUGGACGGAAGUCUGACCGAGCAACGCCGCGUGAGUGAAGAAGGUUUUCGGAUCGUAAAGCUCUGUUGUAAGAGAAGAACGGGUGUGAGAGUGGAAAGUUCACACUGUGACGGUAUCUUACCAGAAAGGGACGGCUAACUACGUGCCAGCAGCCGCGGUAAUACGUAGGUCCCGAGCGUUGUCCGGAUUUAUUGGGCGUAAAGCGAGCGCAGGCGGUUAGAUAAGUCUGAAGUUAAAGGCUGUGGCUUAACCAUAGUAGGCUUUGGAAACUGUUUAACUUGAGUGCAAGAGGGGAGAGUGGAAUUCCAUGUGUAGCGGUGAAAUGCGUAGAUAUAUGGAGGAACACCGGUGGCGAAAGCGGCUCUCUGGCUUGUAACUGACGCUGAGGCUCGAAAGCGUGGGGAGCAAACAGGAUUAGAUACCCUGGUAGUCCACGCUGUAAACGAUGAGUGCUAGGUGUUAGACCCUUUCCGGGGUUUAGUGCCGUAGCUAACGCAUUAAGCACUCCGCCUGGGGAGUACGACCGCAAGGUUG